rnacentral:rRNA from 1 species
UACGGAGGGGGCGAGCGUUAUUCGGAAUUAUUGGGCGUAAAGGGCGCGUAGGCGGCCUGGCAAGUGGAAGGUGAAAUCCCUCGGCUUAACCGAGGAACUGCCCUCCAAACUGCUUGGCUUGAGUCCGGGAGAGGUGAGUGGAAUUCCCAGUGUAGCGGUGAAAUGCGUAGAUAUCGGGAGGAACACCAGUGGCGAAGGCGACUACCUGGCCUGUUCUUGACGCUGAGGCGCGAAAGCUAGGGGAGCAAACGGG